AUACGUAGGGAGCGAGCGUUGUCCGGAAUUACUGGGUGUAAAGGGAGCGUAGGCGGGAGUGCAAGUCAGAUGUGAAAUACAUGGGCUCAACCCAUGGGCUGCAUUUGAAACUGCAUUUCUUGAGUGAAGUAGAGGUAAGCGGAAUUCCUGGUGUAGCGGUGAAAUGCGUAGACAUCAGGAGGAACACCGGUGGCGAAGGCGGCUUACUGGGCUUUUACUGACGCUGAGGCUCGAAAGCGUGGGGAGCAAACAGGAUUAGAUACCCUGGUAGUCCACGCUGUAAACGAUGAUUACUAGGUGUGGGGGGACUGACCCCUUCCGUGCCGCAGUUAACACAAUAAGUAAUCCACCUGGGGAGUACGGCCGCAAGGUUGAAACUCAAAUGAAUUGACGGGG
rnacentral:rRNA from 1 species